AUGACUUCUACUACUGGGGCCAGGGCACCCUGGUCACCGUCUCUUCAGGGCCCAUGGCAAUGUGAUGACUUUGACUACUGGGGCCAGGGCACCCUGGUCACCGUCUCCUCAGCCACCACCACGGCCCCAAAAGUCUUUCCACUGUCUUCGAGCUGUGGGACCACAUCCGGCUCCACAGUGUCCUUGGGCUGCCUGGUCUCCGGCUACUUCCCUGAGCCGGUGACUGUGUCCUGGAACUCAGGUGCCCUGACCAGUGGCGUGCACACCUUCCCCUCCAUCCUGCAGUCAGGGCUCUACUCUCUGAGCAGCAUGGUGACAGUGCCUGCCAGCAGCUUGUCCAGCCAGACAUAUACCUGCAACGUAGCCCACCCAGCCAGCACCACCAGGGUGGACAAGAAAGUUCCAGUGCCCUCAGAACAUGAACCAAAUCCAUGCACAUGCCCAGUUGAGUCCUCAGGAGGGCCUUCGGUCUUUAUCUUUCCCCCGAAACCCAAGGACAUCCUCAUGAUCUCCCUGACGCCCAAGGUCACAUGUAUGGUGGUGGAUGUGGCCCCAGAUGACCUCGAAGUAGAGUUCACCUGGUAUGUGGAUGGCGAAAAGAAGAGAACAGCUAAGACAAAGGCAGAGGAGCAGCAGUUCAACAGCACCUACCGUGUGGUCGAUGCCUUCUCAGUCGCACACCAGGACUGGCUGAACGGCAAAAAGUUCAAGUGCAAGGUCAACAGUGGGUCUCUCCCAUCCCCCAUUGAGAAGACCAUCUCCAAGACCCCAGGACAAGCCCAGGAGCCCCAGGUGUAUGUCCUGGCCCCACACAUGGACGAGCUGUCCAAGAGCACUGUCAGUGUGACCUGCCUGGUCAAAGACUUCUACCCGACAGAAAUCAAUGUGGAGUGGCAGAACAAUGGGAAGCCAGAGCCAGAGACCAAGUAUACUACAACCCCGCCGAUGAAGGACAAGGAUGGUUUCUACUUCCUGUACAGCAAGCUCUCGGUGGAAAAAGCUAGGUGGAUGCAGGGACAGACCUUCACAUGUGCAGUGAUGCACGAGGCUCUGCACAAUCACUACACCCAGAAGUCCAUCUCCCAGACUCCGGGUAAAUGAGCAACGUGCCCAUUACCCAGCGACCCCACCCCAUGUACAUGCCCCAGGCUCAGCAUUAAAUAAAGCACCCAGCGCUGCCCUGGGACCCUGCCA